CCAGGACAGACUGAGAACCUUCUGGCUUCAAUGCAGAUCUGGCCCCUGGGAAGGACAAAGGGAGGACAAGAAAGGUCCUAUGGAAAACUGUUAGAUUCUGGGUUGGUUGGGAUGACAGGCUUGAGCCACAACCCCGUCCAUUCAAGAGUACUCAUUACAGGAUUUCCAUUAACAGUGAAGUUGUGAAAAACUUCAAUCACUAGCAAAUGAAAACUGAAGCAGGCUGAAAUAAACACUAUGGACUGCACCAGCAACCGGCCAGGGCAGCAUCUGAGACUCAGAAAAAUCUUCAGGAUAAAUUGUCAGGAAACCUGGAACUGGCAAGCAAGCCCACAGACUGGAGGCCGGAAGUCGAUGACCAGAGUGCCAGCAGCACAGACCAAACUGGGAGGAAUCCAUUCUGGGUUGUGGAUGGCCACCUGCUUGCCGGGUUCUCACGUGGCCAGGAGUCCAAGUGAGCAGGAUUGCCCACCUCUUCCUCAUGCAGCGUGAGGGAGGGACUGAACCCAGGGCUUGUGUUUGCCAGACCGGCAGUCCUUCCGCUGAGCUCCACCCCGCCACCCAUUUUCUCACAUGGCCACUGGACUUUACUGUUUUCUUCCCCAACAUAAUUUUAUUAAUCAUUUCAGACAACGUACCCUGGUUACAUUUGUUUCCCAUUCUUCUCACCCUUGUGUCCCAGCCC
rnacentral:lncRNA from 1 species